UACAGAGGGGGCAAGCGUUGUUCGGAAUUACUGGGCGUAAAGGGCGCGUAGGCGGCCCGCUAAGUCGAACGUGAAAUCCCCGAGCUCAACUCGGGAACUGCAUCCGAUACUGCCCGACUAGAGGUAGGUAGGGGAGAUCGGAAUUCCUGGUGUAGCGGUGAAAUGCGCAGAUAUCAGGAGGAACACCGGUGGCGAAGGCGGAUCUCUGGGCCUUACCUGACGCUGAGGCGCGAAAGCUAGGGGAGCAAACAGG
rnacentral:rRNA from 1 species